ensembl:lncRNA
AAACAAUACGCGGACAAAGCGAAUGUUGGAAAGGAGAGGAAAAGAAACAACGUGGGACUCAUUUCUCAUUUCCAAUGAGAUGCUGAUCUUUAAAAAGGACGCGGGCAUCUUUUAAAAGGGUCGGUUAAAAGUCCGGUAGUGACUUUUUCCCAUUUAUUUGUCACCCCAUGGAGAUGGAAGUGUUGACACGUCGGCCCAAAAACGAGAAAGAAAAGAUGCGAGGGAGUGUGAGACGGAGGACAGAAGUUGUCCAUUAAGCGGAGAGGCGGCGGAGACUGCAGAGGUCAGAGGUCAGUUCUCCAACAACUUAUAAAAGGAUCUCCUUCCCCCGCUGAAAACCACCGCGGUGAGACUCCACUUGCUUUGCCUGAAGUUUCUGCACAGUAGAUCUGAAGAAGCAGAAGUAGCUACACAGCGGCGGUUGGUCUUUGUCGGGCUGCGCUGCUGCUCGGCGUCUUCGGCCCUUCAUGGAUCGUAGCGGCGGGCUUGGAUCGGCUAGCGGUGAAGGUCGUGUCACCCUGAAGCCUCCUCCGUGUAUCCCUUUGCUCUUUUAAUCCGCCGGGACGUAGAGCGGCCGCGACCCGGAGGAGGAAGGAACCCCCGGCCGUCCCCGUGGAGCACGGCGGCCCGUUUCCUCUCCUGUGAUGAAGACGAAGCCACAAGAGUCCCGGUGGUUUGGGUCCGAACAGCGGGGGGGCGGAUUUUUUAACCACAUUGGAGCUUAA